rnacentral:rRNA from 2 species
CCCAGACAGCCAGGAUGUUGGCUUAGAAGCAGCCAUCAUUUAAAGAAAGCGUAAUAGCUCACUGGUCGAGUCGGCCUGCGCGGAAGAUGUAACGGGGCUAAACCAUGCACCGAAGCUGCGGCAGCGAACGUAUCACUUAAAGCGAUUCAGCGGGUUACGAUUGACGGAGCGAAGCGACGUCAAAGCGUAUACAAAGUCGAGUCGGUUUAAGGAUACGUUCGUUGGGUAGGGGAGCGUUCUGUAAGCCCGUGAAGGUGGCCUGUGAGGGUUGCUGGAGGUAUCAGAAGUGCGAAUGCUGACAUAAGUAACGAUAAAGCGGGUGAAAAGCCCGCUCGCCGGAAGACCAAGGGUUCCUGUCCAACGUUAAUCGGGGCAGGGUGAGUCGACCCCUAAGGC